rnacentral:rRNA from 1 species
UACAGAGGUCCCAAGCGUUGUUCGGAUUUACUGGGCGUAAAGGGUGCGUAGGUGGUGAGGUAAGUUUGAUGUGAAAUCUCCGGGCUCAACCCGGAAAUGGCAUUGAAUACCAUCUCGCUUGAGAGUCGGAGGGGGGACUGGAAUACUUGGUGUAGCAGUGAAAUGCAUAGAUAUGUCAUAGAACACCGAUUGCGAAGGCAGCUGACAAAACUAUAACUGACGCUGAUGCACGAAAGUGCGGGGAUCAAACAGG